rfam:Gossypium arboreum cultivar AKA8401 contig_109482_1, whole genome shotgun sequence.
AACCCAUGGUGAGGCCACCUUUUCAACAGAUCCUUGUAUCUCUCCCAUGCAUCGUAGAGUGUGUCUAAAUCCAUCUGCACAAAAGAGGAGAUAUCAUUACGUAAUUU